rnacentral:tRNA from 1 species
CCCUGGUUAGCUCAUUUGGUAGAGCGCUCCACUUGUAAUGGAAAGGUCUCGGGUUCGACACCCGGGCCAGGCG